rnacentral:lncRNA from 1 species
UGGCCCUCGGGGGAUUCACUGUUAUACUUGGAGGCCAUGUCACCUGAGAGUCAAUGGGCAACGAUCAAAUUUCACCUUGAGCAGAUUCUUUUGUUUGCUUUUUAGUCACAAAUAGCUUGGCCCUAAGUGGUGGCUCCCAUUCUUGUAAGAUGCGUUUAUUCAUCGUGUAAUCACCAGUUCCCUGUAGUGGGGGCGUGGAUGGAGUGUCAGAGGCUCCUGCUGGUCUUUAGGGUGUCUGGCCUCCAGGAAUCCUAGAGUAAAUUGGGAACUACAGCACUCGAUGUUAGAGUUGUCGUGAAGAUUAAAGAAGGUGACGACUGGACAACUCCCAGCCCAAUACCUGAAACUGUACCAGCACCCAGUGAGCACUGCUAUUCCUGUGACUGCUGCACAUUUGCCUUAUCUCAGCAGUAUGCCUGUGUCACUUUUUUGGCACUCUUUUCUCAUGGGUACAUUCAGAGAAGAGGAAUGUUUGUUCACUGGUGAAGAGAACAUCCCGUGUACUAUCGUGUAGAAGUUGUAGUAGACGCUGUGGUCUUUCCAACAACAAACAAACUGCUGGGACAGGACCCAGGAGGUUCCGGAGGAUCAGGAGGUCCACCUGGGAGAAGAGCUGAUCGGCUAGUAGGAGAGCUGGAAAAGCAACAGACACCUACUUAGUCCCUUCCCUGGGGCCCGGCUCCAGUCUGAGCUGUCACGCCACAGCAAAGGCAUCACUUCAGGACAGCAAAGCCCCUGUCUCCCUCCCUUCCAGCUCCUCAGACUUCACCCUGGUAACACGUUUGUUUAAAAAACAUAUUUUUCCCCCUUGUAAAGAAUCUAGGAUACAAGGGGUCAGCCCAGCAGUUUAGGUAUCAAGAAGAAACUGCUCUCGGAGCUAAAGUAAGAAACAGUGCCUGUCUAUAGCGCAAAUAAAGAGUUGGAACAAGAUAAAA